AAAAAUAAAUUUAAAAAAUUUUUUUAAAUAAAUAAUUCUUUGUUAAAAAUCAUUUAAGACAUUUUUAGAUGUUAACUAGUAACUAACAAAGGCAGAUAGCUUUACCAUUGUUACAUAGAAUGUAAGUAGUGACAAACAUGUAGGUAUUUCUCAGUUCUCAGAAAUCAGUUUGCCUCUCUUCACCUAGAAAAAGCUACUAAUGAGACAUUGCCUAGUGAGAUGCAAUAUUUCAACAUUAGGGUACCACAGUGGAAAACCAAUUGUAUUUUCCAGUAAUAAUAUCCUUUAGAUAGGGCAUCACUCUAUCUACUGACUAUUGAUCUUAUGAUAUGACUAUUCUAUUAUCCUCCAACUGAUCAGAAAAAAACUACCAUGAAAAUCGAGUAUCUAAACAUCACUAAAGUUCAUGUCAGGCUGUGUUCCCUCCGCAUUACGUAGAAAAGGGCAUGACUUCCCAAACCCACCCAAUCAGGAGAUGCUUGGGGGGAAAAAAACAUAGAAAGACAGAUUCCCAGCCAGCCCAGAAGUUCUUUGGGCAAGGCUCAGAAUCCAUAUGAUUAACAGGAGCUCCCAGGUGACCAUCAAUCGGCCAAAUUUGGGAGUGCAGGAGAAUACUGAAUAUAGUAGGUGAGUGUGCUGCUGUGCACAGUGUUGUCAUUGAGUUGCUGGUAACUUGCUGGAAAAUCACCAUCUUCCUUGAAAACGUAUAUAGUGGCCCCCCUGCCCCCACCUCACAAACAAUGUAGUCUGGGUAAACUAGGUGGUGUGUGAAGCGUUCCGCGAUUAGUGGCAGAGAGUACAAGGUGAUAGGACUAUCUGUGCAGUCCUCGUCAUCACGGCCGUCAUCCUCGGCGCCGGCGUCGCUGUUAUCUCUCCAAGUGUAUACAAGGUUUUAACAAGCCCGGCCGUUCCUCUCCUAGAAGAAAAGGAAGUGUCCUGUCCACGUUUGUGUGGCAGUGGGAGUGAGUUUCGGGAAUGUCAGGUUUCGUAACUGUAUUCUUUUUGCCUUCGCAGACACAGUACUGAGUCUCUUUUUAAAAAGUGAAAGAAAAGAACAGCAAAAGCUGCAUUCUUAAGUUACUCAUUUUAUCUGCAAAGUGCUUCCCACCUAUGUAUGCCUUAUAAAGUAUUCUAGGCAUACUCGGAAAUACAAGGCUACAAGGGGCAAAACAAUGAAAAUCCCUUUGGGUCUCAUUUCCCGAAUUUUAUUGGUUAAAGGUUGCACCGAAUUGUUCAACUCUGCGACUAAAUGGGAAGUUUGCUCAUAGCAUCCUUUUUUUUCGCUGUCUCAGAAAAUGCUGUUAAAAGGUGGUUGGAUGUGAUAUUAAGAAAAGUUAAUGUUUUCUGACUCUAUGUACUAAAGACUCUACCUGCAUAAUCUCUUUCAGACCUUAUGAAAAUUCAAUGUACAGCUAUAAAUGACAAGGUAUAGAUUAAAUCUGACUUGAAAGCAAAUGUUAGGCUCCCCUCAUUAAAAUUUAUUGACAUUUACACCAAAAAAUACAGUUUGCUGUCACCUGCCUGUACCCAAAGUUAUUCCCUAGAGAUAUUUUCCUUUCUAAAAAAAGAAGAGAGAGCAGAAAAUGAAUCUAUGUCAUCUGUUACCGAAUGUCUGUGAGUGGAAGCCAGGAUAAGAGGAGGGAUGAGAUCUAUGUACACAGAGAAACCCUUCGGGACAAACGAAAAAGGUGGCUGCAUGAGCUAAGGAGAGGAUGCCUGCCUGGGACGUAGAACUCCUCCAGCAUUCCUCAGUUCCCACAGUUCUCUUCCUGCCCUCCCUGAAGUGCCUGUUGUCACCAGAGUGCCCGGGGCAGGAACAUCAAAAGCCCCUGGUCAGAGUGAAAAGUGAGGCGGACCUGGUUUGUCAGGAGGUUCUGGGUAAAGCAGCACUUGAGCCAGGAACUCACCUGACUCCCAGGACCACUCACUGUCAAACCCUGAAAUAACAGUGUCUGCCAAGCGGCAAUGUUCAUUAUCUGUGUUUGCACUUGCCAUAGGCCCUUCGUCUCUGUUCUCAUUUUCUUGGGUACCACUGCUAGUGAUGAAAUCUCUAGCUCUCUAGUCCCCAAAGUGCUUCCUCUAGGUAUUUGUGAUGUGUAUAUAUCUAGUGCUUUGGAGUGUGCCUGCCAUCAUGUCUCUCAUUCUUGUGGUUCUUUUUUGGCACUGUUGGCACUCUGGAUGUAUUUCUAAUUAACUGUAUUCUGUGUGCCUGGAAACACAAAUGGGUGCCUAUGACCUUUUUUCUGCUAUGUUUCUGAUAUUGCAUAUUGCCCGCUGAAUUGUGCACGUGGAGACCUUCAUUCUGGGUGCCCUUCCGAGUUCGCUUUUUCACUCAUUUAGUCUCUAGAACGUGACAGGCUGUGCUUAGACCCUGAGGACCCAGUGAGGCAUAAACCACCUCCAUUGAGCUUCAGAACCAUUAUCCUAGAGGUUCACGGAACCUAAAAAGAUAAAAUGUGUUCCAGAUGCCAGAGCAUUAAGUAGCUUUUGAGCAUAAAAUACAAAAUAGAGUGUUUGUAAAAUAAAUGGAUAAAUGAGCAGAUAAAUUCAAGAAAGCAGGAAGAAAUGGGACAGGGUAAGGUCUUUUUUCCAGAGGAUCAGGAAGACAUAUACACUGGGAUUCAGCUUAGAGACUGGAAAGGGUCUAGGGAACCAGUUCAGGAGCUUAGGGAAAACUUACCAGCGUGAGAAAGCUGAGGACUGAGAAUCCCCAGGAACUUCCUUUAGGAAGUCAUGCUAUCCAAGCCACCAAGGAGGAACGUAGUGAAGACAGGUGGGGCGUGCAGCUCAGACCUCAGUUGAGAAACAGGUGAGAUGCCUCUUAAGGCAUUCUGCACUGGCUGUGCCGAUUAGCUGGAAUUGCUUAUAGGGAAAGAGGUCUGGGUUUUCUCUUCCUGCAGGAUUUAAUUUCUUUUUAAAAAAUUCAAACUGUUGUACAUUUUGUUCUGCAUGUUUGUUGUAUAAGUCAGAACCAAUGUCAAGGAGGGAGAGCGAGGCUCGGAAGUCAGGAGGUCUGGGUUUUAUUGUUGGCUCUUCUGCUCACCCUGUGUGACCUUAGACAAGUUGCUCUAUGCCUUCAAUUUUUCUGUUAAAAUGAGGCGAAUAAUAAUAAUAUGAACACCUUCCCAAUUCUGAGGGAUUACAUUAUAUAAUCUAUGGUACAAUGUUUCAUAAUAAUAAAUGUUGGCUCUUAAUAAUAAAUGCGAAAGAUAGGUGAGAUUGCUUUAUAUAUUAACAAGCAUUAUAAAACCGUCAAUAGACAUUAUUGUGUUAUGCAAUUAUUUUUGAUCCUCAGAGUGGUUUUCUUUGUAAACUACAUUUUUUAUCCCUGCUGCGAUUGCUGAAAGCAUUUUGGAAGUGGCUUUACAGACAGUUGACAGGCCACACGAGAAAAAAACGUCACAUUGGUUUACUAUCACGCUUCACUUUUAACCAGAAAUAUCAUUUCCAGUAUGCUUCGCAACCUUAGUCACCAGACAGGAUGUCAGAUGAGCCUGGAUGUGGCUAAUUCUAGGAACAAGUUGCUCCAAGGGAUAAGACUUUUGAAAGAAAUAUGACGUGAACUCUGAAGGCAACUCCAAGACAGAGUUUCCUAGAAUUUUUACAGUGAUGGCAACAUACAGGAUGAGCAUAUACAUAGGUUUUCCCAGGUGACACUUCGAAGGAGACAGCUUCAUCUGAAGUUUCAUGCUUGCUCUGGAUUCUAGUCAGGCAGUGAUGGGGGAAAUGUGCUCUAGGAAUCUUUUUUCACCCUUCAGCCACGCCUCGGACAGUCGUGUUUCUACAGAUCCCCCCCGGCCAGGUUCUGUUCCCUAGGGAGUCCGAAGGUGCUGGAGAUACAGGUGAAGGCCAGUGCGUCCCAGCCCCCUGGCUCAUCAUCUCAACAGAAGGGGCAGCAGAGGAACUUAGCCUGGCAUUUGGUCACACCGUUAUCUCUCACUGAGUCUGUCUGACUCUGACUGGGCGCUUACAGUGGCUCAGCAUCCUGUUCUUCGGUGAUUUCGUACAACUCUCUCCAAGGCUUGCUUAUAACUCCCCCCUUAGAUUACAGUCUCUCAGCAAUGAUCCUCUGGUUGCAGGAUAAAAACCAAUUCUGCUAACUUAAGCAAGAUGGAAUUUAGUGGGAGAAUACUGGGAGAAUUUCCAAUUCUCUGAGAAUUAGUGGGGAGGCUGAAGGAUCAGAGUCAAUGCAUUUUCAGAGUUCUAGAAAGAAACUUUGCAGGCGAGAAGGGACUGGCAAGAAGUAUUCAAAGUGAUGAAAAGCCAGGACCUACAACCUAGAUUUACUCUAUCAAGCAAAGCUAUCAUUUAGAAUGGAAGGGCAGAUAAAGUGCUUCCCAGACAAG